rnacentral:rRNA from 1 species
UACGUAGGGGGCAAGCGUUGUCCGGAAUCAUUGGGCGUAAAGCGCGUGUAGGCGGUCCGGUAAGUCCGCUGUGAAAGUCGGGGGCUUAACCCUCGGAUGCCGGUGGAUACUGUCGGGCUUGAGUACGGAAGAGGCGAGUGGAAUUCCUGGUGUAGCGGUGAAAUGCGCAGAUAUCAGGAGGAACACCAAUUGCGAAGGCAGCUCGCUGGGACGUUACUGACGCUGAGACGCGAAAGCGUGGAGAGCAAACAGG